rnacentral:sRNA from 19 species
GUAAACUACCCGCCACCCUGCUGAGUACAGCUAUGGUGGGGGCUUUUAAAGAAGCCUAGAGUUUACCCGACUAAGUACCUCGUGUACUACGUUUUGGAAGUCAUCACACCUACAGAUACGAAGCCAGUCUGUAGCACUGUG